rnacentral:rRNA from 1 species
CGGAAAACUGGGGAUAAUACCGGAUAUAUGGAGAUGCCUGGAAUGGUACUCCACUUAAAGCUCCGGCGCCUAAGGAUGGAUCUGCGGCAGAUUAGGUCGUUGGUGGGGUAAUGGCCCACCAAGCCUAUAAUCUGUACGGGUUGUGAGAGCAAGAGCCCGGAGGUGGAACCUGAGACAAGGUUCCAGGCCCUACGGGGCGCCGCAGGGGCGGAACCCUCGGCAAGGCGACAAUCGGCGACGGGGGGACCCCAAGUGCCACUCUUAACGGGGUGGCUUUUCUUAAGUGUAAAAAGCUUUGGGAAUAAGGGCUGGGCAAGACCGGUGCCAGCCGCCGCGGUAACA